rnacentral:lncRNA from 1 species
GUACGGAAGCCCCAGAGAAUGGCUCUAAAUUGUUGGACCAUCCAUGAGGAUGCUGGUCCUCACAGUCAGGCUUCAGGAGAGAUCGUAUGAUGUCUUUUCCUUGUGCGUCCUCAUAUGCUGUUUUUGUAGUUUGUCUCCAGGUAAAUAAAGAUCCCACAUUUGUGGAUAGAGCCAGGCAAUUGCUUCUUAAUAUGAAGAAAACAUUUGCUGACCUGUUGGCACGAGUCCUGAGAGGUAAUCUCCUAGGAGAAGUUAAAUAGUAAGUAAGAUGACCACCAGUAUUUGAAGGUCUGAGUUUAUUUAGAGUUUAUUUAGAGCACGUAAGAGGAUGAUUUACCAUUUCUCUCAGAAGAUGAUGUAAAUCUUGUAGUAUCAAAGGAUACUAUGUUGGGAGACUACCCUCAUUAUGUAUUCAGUCAUUCACUCAUUCAGCA